GAGAGAAGCACAUGAAAAAUCAUGAUUUUUUUAAGAGAGAUGAAGAUCAUUGUUCGUACAAGCCUAAAGAAGGCAAAAGGAGAAGAACCAACAUGUUGACACCAUCAAACGCACUAGGGCAAGCUAUUGUAACACCAUCAAAGGACCAUGGGAGCAUUGAGGCAGCGUUGAAAAUGGCAUAGGACAGUUGUGGUGGGGCUCUUUGGAGUCCCACUCGCACCUUCCGGGCCGACCGUCUGUCGUGACUCCUUAAGCUAAAACCAAAUAGACUGAUCCCAUGCCAUGCAAGAGAUGAGGCCCAAGCCGAUUAUAUAGUACCUUCCCAUCAACACCUACAACAACAUGCAAAACAAGAAAAGGAGGAUCCAAGCAACAUUUAAAAGACCCUCCAAAAAGGUGAAGUCCUAGCUGCAAAGACAAUUCAAAAAUUAUAUACAUCCCAACCUAGCAGAAGGGAUGGGAUCCUAUGGCCGAAUUAGAAGAUGAGAGCCUUCCCUUAGUCGGAGGAACGGGGAAAGGCUGAUGGAGUGACAAAAAAAAUGCCUUAAGGAUACGAAGAGAUCGGGCGUUAGGUCUAAUCUA
rnacentral:misc_RNA from 1 species